rnacentral:rRNA from 1 species
UCAGAACGAACGCUGGCGGCAGGCUUAACACAUGCAAGUCGAACGCCCCGCAAGGGGAGUGGCAGACGGGUGAGUAACACGUGGGAACGUACCCUUUUYUACGGAAUAACCCAGGGAAACUUGGACUAAUACCGUAUGUGCCCUUCGGGGGAAAGAUUUAUCGGAAAAGGAUCGGCCCGCGUUGGAUUAGCUAGUUGGUGGGGUAAAGGCCUACCAAGGCGACGAUCCAUAGCUGGUCUGAGAGGAUGAUCAGCCACAUUGGGACUGAGACACGGCCCAAACUCCUACGGGAGGCAGCAGUGGGGAAUAUUGGACAAUGGGCGCAAGCCU